rfam:Salmo salar isolate Sally breed double haploid chromosome ssa20, whole genome shotgun sequence.
UGGCUCAGUUGGCUGAGCAUGGCUCUUGCAAUGCUAGGGUUGUGGGUUCGAUUCCCAC